rnacentral:rRNA from 1 species
UGUAGAGAUACGAGGGUGCCUUCGGGAACUGUGAGACAGGUGCUGCAUGGCUGUCGUCAGCUCGUGUUGUGAAAUGUUGGGUUAAGUCCCGCAACGAGCGCAACCCUUAUCCUUUGUUGCCAGCGGUCCGGCCGGGAACUCAAAGGAGACUGCCAGUGAUAAACUGGAGGAAGGUGGGGAUGACGUCAAGUCAUCAUGGCCCUUACGACCAGGGCUACACACGUGCUACAAUGGCGCAUACAAAGAGAAGCGACCUCGCGAGAGCAAGCGGACCUCAUAAAGUGCGUCGUAGUCCGGAUUGGAGUCUGCAACUCGACUCCAUGAAGUCGGAAUCGCUAGUAAUCGUGGAUCAGAAUGCCACGGUGAAUACGUUCCCGGGCCUUGUACACACCGCCCGUCACACCAUGGGAGUGGGUUGCAAAAGAAGUAGGUAGCUUAACCUUCGGGAGGGCGCUUACCACUUUGUGAUUCAUGACUGGGGUGAAGUCGUAACAAGGUAACCGUAGGGGAACCUGCGGUUGGAUCAC